CUUUUUAGUUUUGCCUUCAUCCCCACAAAUCCAUGUAUUGCCCUCCAAGGAGCUGCUUAUAGGGACUGGCACCUGUCACAUACUACCCUGCUUCCCAGGGUUUCCUUUGAAAUAUUGAUAGAGGGCUCCAUUACCCAAUAACUCUCUUAUUCUGCUUAUCUGAAAAAUUAGCACCAUGUGCACAAGGCUGAGGUCUAUCACCAUAGACCCACCUGAUGGGCCCACAUAAACCACGACUGCAGUGGCCUCUGAGUGUCCUGCUAGCUGAAUACAGGGAAACCAAUCCAUAGGUACGUUAGGCACCAGCGUUCUUUCCACAAAGGAAAGUUUUUCAAAGAAAUUUACACUUCUGCACUUUUGAGCCUGUGAAGCUUGGGGUGGCCUUGCAGAUCUCUGAGAUGCGCUCAAGUCCUCCUUCUUAUAGUUCCAGUCCAAAGCACUUGGCUUCUUAUUACCAGUGCUAAUGAUUGCACUCUCUUUUCUGAAAGUUUAUGCAUGUUCCUUAUCUGGGAAAACUGUGAAUUUAAUUUAACUUAAUUUCACUUCACUUCAGAUAUCAUUUUGUUUUAUUUUCAGUUUUGUUUAGUACUAUGAAUUAAAUCUAGUGGUGUCUACCACCGAGUUAUAUCCCCAGCCCUUUUUAUUUUAUUUUUUUGAGAUAAAGUCUUGCAAAGUUGCUGAGAGUCUUGCUAAGUUGUUGAACUGACCUCGAACUUGCAAUCCUC
rnacentral:lncRNA from 1 species